rnacentral:rRNA from 1 species
ACGCUCGACACCUACGUGAGGCAGCAGUGGGGAAUAUUGCACAAUGGGGGAAACCCUGAUGCAGCGACGCCGCGUGAGCGAAGAAGUAUUUCGGUAUGUAAAGCUCUAUCAGCAGGGAAGAAACUGACGGUACCUGACUAAGAAGCACCGGCUAAAUACGUGCCUGCAGCCGCUGUAAUCUGGAGGCGGGCUGGACAAGGC